rnacentral:rRNA from 1 species
UACGAAGGGGGCUAGCGUUGCUCGGAAUCACUGGGCGUAAAGGGUGCGUAGGCGGGUCUUUAAGUCAGGGGUGAAAUCCUGGAGCUCAACUCCAGAACUGCCUUUGAUACUGAAGAUCUUGAGUCCGGGAGAGGUGAGUGGAACUGCGAGUGUAGAGGUGAAAUUCGUAGAUAUUCGCAAGAACACCAGUGGCGAAGGCGGCUCACUGGCCCGGUACUGACGCUGAGGCACGAAAGCGUGGGGAGCAAACAGGG